GAGUUCGCCACCCCUGAUCUAUAAGGUUUCUGUUAAUCAUAUGGUCAAACAUGUUACGGCUGAUUCAGCGGGAGGAUCUGAUAUGCAGCUUGAGAAGAAAGUGCA